rnacentral:rRNA from 1 species
AACGAACGCUGGCGGCAGGCCUAACACAUGCAAGUCGAACGCCUCAGCAAUGGGGAGUGGCAGACGGGUGAGUAACACGUGGGAACGUACCCUUCGGUUCGGAAUAACUCAGGGAAACUUGAGCUAAUACCGGAUACGUCCGAGAGGAGAAAGAUUUAUUGCCGAAGGAUCGGCCCGCGUCUGAUUAGCUUGUUGGUGAGGUAACGGCUCACCAAGGCGACGAUCAGUAGCUGGUCUGAGAGGAUGAUCAGCCACAUUGGGACUGAGACACGGCCCAAACUCCUACGGGAGGCAGCAGAGGGGAAUAUUGGACAAUGGGCGAAAGACUGAUCCAGCCAUGCCGCGUGAGUGAUGAAGGCCUUAGGGUUGUAAAGCUCUUUUACCUGGGAAGAUAAUGACGGUACCAGGAGAAUAAGCCCCGGCUAACUUCGUGCCAGCAGCCGCAGUAA